AGUAAAAUGCCUGAUUAAAGGAUUAUUUUGAUAUAAUAAGUAUGUGAAAUUCUUCACUUUUACUA
rnacentral:tRNA from 1 species